GGGAGUUCCAGCCAAUCAUGGCUCUAACACUGUGCUUUUAAUUGAGACUGAAAAGACCCCUGGUGGCAUGUUGGUGGGGUAAGUGUGUAUGUUGACUAUGCAAACAAUGAGGAAUUAAAACAAGAAAUGCAGUCAACCUUUCCUCAACUACCAGAAACAAAGCUGUUUACACAAGUCGUGUAAUCCACAAUCCCUUUUUCUCCAGACCCAGUCUGUCCCUAAUCAGCAAGCAUAUGGUAGGCAGGAGAGAAGCCCACAUUUAAAAGACAAAGCAUUUUGGAAGUCAAAUUGUUUAUUGAACAAAUCAUGCAAGAGUAGCAGGAACACCAGGACAAAUCAAAACCGUACAACCUAAGUGUCAGCAAGUGACCAAAUCAGAUGUAAAUUUUAGUCGUAUGGUUUUGAAAAAAAAAAAAAAAUCAUACCAUUGUAGUGUUCACCCCUGUAAACAAUUUGCAUAACGAUGAGCAAGUGAAGGAGAUCCUCAUUUCAAACAAGUGCAUUAGUUUGCACAAUUCCUCACCUCAGUUACCUUUGCCCUUUUCUUCAAAGGGAGGCACAGUAACAGGGGAAAGCCGAUUAAGGAGUUGGGCAAACCAAAUUAUGAUCUCCCUAUCUAGCUUGUUGAGGGGUCGGGCCGUCUGUUCAAGGCCGGCCGCUUCUGCAGAGGUAUGUUUGGCAGUUGCUUCAGCAGAGGCGCGGGGGCCAGCCGCUUCUGCAGAGGUAUGUUUGGCAGUUGCUUCAGCAGAGGCGCGGGGGCUAGCUGCUUCUACAGAGGUAUGUUUAGCAGUUGCUUCAGCUGAGGCGCGGGGUCCGACGGCCGCUUCUGCAGAGGUAUGUUUGGCAGUUGCUUCAGCUGAGGCGCGGGGGCCAGCCACUUCUGCAGAGGUAUGUUUGGCAGUUGCUUCAGCAGAGGCGCGAGGGCCGGUGGCCGCUACUGCAGAGGUAUGUUUGGCAGUUGCUUCAGCUGAGGCGCGGGGGCCAGCCGCUUCUGACGAGGCAUGGUUGGCAGUUGCUUCAGCUGAGGCGCGGGGGCCAGCCGCUUCUGACGAGGCAUGGUUGGCAGUUGCUUCAGCAGAGGCGUGGGGGCCGGCGGCCGCUUCUGCAGAGGUAUGGCUGGCAGUUGCUUCAGCUGAGGCGCGGGGGCCAGACGCUUCUGACGAGGCAUGGUUGGCAGUUGCUUCAGCUGUGGCAUUUGGACCCUGCGUCACACUUGCCAGGGUAUUGUAGCCAGUAGCUUUAGCAUUUGGACCAGACACCACACUUGCUUGGGAUCCAGUUGGUUCAGGUCCAGUGCAGGCAGGAUGCCCAUAAGCAUCACCUAGGAAACAAAGAAAACAUUGUGGUAAAAUGCCAGCCUGAAGCCAUUGGAACUAGACUGAUUUUAACUGAAGUAGUGUAAACCAAAACACACCUUGAAGUGGAAAACAAGUUAUCCCUCCAAUUAGCAGGCAACAAAUCCAAGAAACACUACAAAACAUUCAGACAGGUAAACAUCAAUAUCCAGUGAGCACUUUAAGACAAGGUAAACCAAUCAGAUGAACGCAUUGAAAAACUAACCUCAAAGAGAGUCCAAAAGUCACAGCCAUUUUAGUGAUCAAAACCACAACCGUAUUCAGAACUAAUGCUACACAGACACCCUACCAGAAUAUCCCUGUUGCAAUGUCUAACAGCUGUUUUGGUUGCACCUCAUAAAGGAAUCCCAGACCCUUCUUACCUGAAUGGCUAAUUAUGUACAGCUGUC
rnacentral:lncRNA from 1 species